rnacentral:misc_RNA from 1 species
UUUUCUUAUGAAAUUCACAUUGUUUUAUCAAUAAUCAUGCAUUUCAUAACACAAUAAUAAUGGUGGGUAAUGUUUUUCACAUCAUCCACUGGAGAUUUAACACUUGAUCAAUUAGAAGAAAGCCUGCUAAUUUUAAGGCUAUUUUAUAUGUCCACUUUGGUGGGAUAUAUAUGUAUAUGGUGACUUAGAGCUAGGGCAUGCUAAAGGGUAGAGUCUUAACUACUUGAUCUACUCCAAAUCUCCUCUAGUUCUCUAGUGAAGGCCUUUUGCCUACCAACAACAAUCGUAAUAUGAUCUUUCUUCUCGAUCACGUUAACACUGGCACGAGGAACUCUUUCUUGGACAUUGUAACUACAUUCAACUGGAAUAAGCUCAUCAUUGCUCCCAUGGAAGAUAUUGACAUCACAUUUCAGGUGGUCACGGACGGUGUCUAGGUAGCCAUCGAGCUUGCUGGCGGUGCCACAGAUAAUGUUGUGCAGGGUAUGCCAUGCUGCGUUGUGGGUAUGACUAAAGAAUCCUUCGAGCAAGAAUGUCCUAAUCCUGUUUCUUGUGACAAGUUUGGCAAGAAAUUCCCACAAUCGAUGGUUCUUGCAUAUAACCAGACAAAUCGUCCUGCUGAUGUGCUCAUACCAGCAAGCUAUCGACGCGCCAAAUGCAAUCAGUGGCCACACGCGCCUGGGAGCUAUCCUUCUCAUGACGUAUUGUGUUGGUUGUACCCCCUUUGGCACUGGAUAAUAUGGUGGUGCGAGGAGAGUAAGGGAUUUGACGGAUCCAGGGUGUUUUACUGCGAGUGCUAGGGCCAAAAUGCAGCCUAAAGAAUGAGCCACGAUAUGGAAGGAUUUAACUUUGUGAGGUUCGAUCACAGAUCUUUCAAUCAUCUCCAAAUGCUCUCUAAGCGUGUAAAGCGAGUCUGUUGGCUUUGGACUCCUCCCAAACCCUAGUAAAUCCACAGCGAAAAAUCGGUAGCUGGAUUUAGCAGCAUCCGACAAGUUUGGAAAUACGGUUUCUGUCCAAAAUGCUGAAGAUGAAAUGAAUCCAUGGAUGAAAAGGACAUCUUCUUUUGCUUUAUCUUUUGCGCCUUCAGCUUUAACAAAUAGAGUUUCCUUGCCAGAGGUGGUCCAACUAGUGCAAGGUUUACAAUCACAAUCAGACCAUCUUGGGAUAGGAUGUGCUUUCUGGCCUUCAAUCUUUCCCUGAAGCAUUUCAACAAUGGUGGAGUUAAUCGUGAAUGUCGAUCUCACCGUUCCUUUCUUUAUCUUCUCGCAGGAUUGUACAACGCUCUUUUCCACUUUGAUUCGUUUUAGCUCAUUAACAGUCAAUUUUGAAACCUCAGAGAGUAGGGCAGGGCGGGUAUAGAGGGUGUCUGAGAUCUCCUCUAGCUCUAACUUGCUAGAACUCAGGCAAACAAUCUUGGACUCGCCUUGCUCCGAGACCAAGAUCUUGCCACUGCUAGUGAUGGCGUCUUUAGCUGAGGUACAGUAACAGGGUUUCCAUUCUGCUUCAAUGAAGAAAUCUGCGACUUUGUAAGCGAAACACAGAACGAAAUCAAGAAGAUCAAGAAAAGAAAAGACAAUGAAGCUCACAGCUUCAUGUAUGGCUCUGCCUGUUAAUGUUAAAACCAUUCUGGUUUUGCCCAUUACACCCAUUUUCACAGCCCACUAAAAUAGUUUAUUAGAUGCCAAAGAAACGAAGAGAGGAUAGAAAUUAGGAGAAUGAGAAAGAGAGAAGAAGAUAGCUAUAAGGGCAAUGUUACCUAGGCAUCAUUAGCUAAACGAGCACAAAACAUGCCAUUGAAAGCAUUAAUAUUAGCUCUCUUCUAGCUCUUGAUGCAAUAGAGGAAAAGCCAGACUAAAAAUAUCGAGGUCAUGAAUCUUGAUUUACACUUUGCUAAUAAAGGGUUGUGGAAAAUAUUACACUACUUAAUUUCUUGACCGCUAUCAAAUGCGCCUCACUAAUUGAAGAAAGCGUGUGGGAUAGUGGGAAUGCUCCUCUUCAAAAUUUAUUAGCGAGAGAGAGAGAGAGAGAGA